UUUUAGGCUCUUUUUAGAGCCACAGAAUUGCAAGAAAAGUUUGAAAU
rfam:Ixodes scapularis strain Wikel colony gcontig_1108379023274, whole genome shotgun sequence.